CUGAAGAAACAGGACCUACUCAUCAAGGGUCUGACCAAGGAGAUGUGGACACUAGGAGGUCAAGGACAAGGUUCACUGAGGGGACACUCAGGAGGGUGACGGGGCCAAGGAGGGGACGGGCAGGAGCAGGAGACAGGGCAGCAGGCCACUUGGGGAGGAAGGCAACUAGACCCUUGCGGGGAGCGGAUGCCUCGUAGGAGGGCUUGGCACACAGUAGGCCCCUCACUGGGCGGCACAUGGGUGAGAGAACGAGUAUGUGGUCACCCCAGCCGGCCAUGCCCACCAGGAGGCCCGGAUUCCGUCUGGCCAGGCACCCCUGGGGUCCCGUUCUCGGCUCCCUCGGCACUGCUUUAGUGGACAUCGGCCAUGGGAGACUUGAAUCGAGGCGGGUGUCUGGAUGGAGGGAGUGGGACAGGAGGGAGUCCCCAGACCCCAUCCUAGAAGGACUGGCAGGAGGUAUUCAGGAGAUUCAAGGAAGGGAAAGCUAGCUAACUUCAAAUAUUCGAAAGGAUGUAAAAAUGGAGAAGGGCCCGGCUCCUUCCAGAGGCUGCUGAGAACAGACCCGGGACCAGCCUCAGGGCAGUGGGGACAGACAGCUCAGCCGAAGAAACUGGUAGUCUUGCAGUGGGAUGGCCCUCCCUGGCCCUGGAGCUUUUCGAAGAAUCAUAGCACUGGAGGGACCUCAGAGGGAUCUCCUUCCCGGCCUCUGCCCAAAGCCCGGACCCCCUCCCCCCAGCUUUCCUCGGAUGGCCUCAGGCCUCUGCCAGGAGGGCACCAGGGGAAGCUUCCAGCUUCGGCUGCCAAGACACAAGCCCAGAAGAGCUGGCACUGUCUGCCAGCCCCUCUCCAAAGGAGAACAGAAGUCAGAACCUUCUGCCUCGGGGUGUCCCCGAGCACCAGGCCAGCAGAACCUUCCAGAAAGUUGCUCCUGCCCCACGUACCUGGCCAGCGGCGCUUCCCAGGGGCAGUGUCAGGGAGACUGCAGAACAAAGAGGAAGCAACAAACUCCUGGCAAGCGGUGAGCAAAGCACCACGGAGAUGUGAGGUUUCAGGCUUCCAAUGGAAAAUAUCUGGUCUCAGCUCCGAAGUGUGUGGGGAGGUGCAGAGCUCCACGGGGUUCUCCCAACUCCACAGUGACCAGCUCUCUGUUCACCACCAUUCCUGAAUCCCACAUUGCUGCGGACUUAUCAAGAGCCUCCUGAGCAGACGCGGGGCUGGGAGUCGGGACCCAGCGCUGUGUGGAGCCUGGGUGCUGGCUGGGUCUGUCCACGCACAGAUGACAUUCAGCAGAAGCAAACAAGGGUCGAUCCCACAGCGGCUUAAACCUUCCCAGGGACUGGAAGGCCCAGAAGGCCCCACUCAGGAAUGCCAAGGCCAAGUACACAACUCGCUGGGAGACGCGACAGGGGACCACCCCUGAGGGCUUGUGGAAGCUUUAAAAAGAGAAGAAGAGAUGGGAAUUGAAAAGCAGAUUUUCUUGCCAAUUUUGACAACCUAAACCCCAUUCCUCCUAUACACACCCCCCUCUACACACCCUUCCGCACACCCUAACACUAGGGCUUCACACGUACCCUGACCCACACAAAUACACAGGAAGGGCUGCUGUCUUGGAUAUUCUUGGAGGACACAGUUUCACUCCGAUCUUUCAGCUGGGCUCAAAUUUCCUCUCUCUAUUCAGGGAAAAAAAUCACACUUUCAAAACUGCCUUUGCUCCACAGAUUGGAAGCCCCAGGAACUGGCUGAUCCCGAGGCCCUGUGCGGCUUCACCGUGGUUUUAUUUAUGAACACCCUCCCUCUCUUGCAAAUGAGAAAUUGUGAAAUCCUUUUUAAACUGAGGGCUCUUCUACCGACUGAGCCGGUUUUUCCAAAAAGCAGAAACCACUGACCCACUGGCGGGUUUCUUUUGACAUUUAGACGUCAAAGAUUAAUAAAAUAGACUUAACUCCCAUUGCCAAGCUUCCAAGGCAUUUUAAACGUGCCCAUCUCGGUGAGAUCUGGCACCAUCAUAACCACUUUAUAGAUGUGGAAACCAACAUUUAACCAAACGAUGAUCAGGCCUGCUGAAAAACUCCCCAGUGAGUCAAUUAUAAAACACACACAGGCUGGGAACCAAGAAAUGAAUAGUCAACUAGUCGUGAUAUAGGAACAUGACUUUCUUCUUUGCACUGUGAGGAGCGAUUUAAUCGAUUCUAGGGACCAGUUCCUUCUCCCCCUGGAACAGAAUGCAAAUCUUUGGCUCUCCUUGCCUCCAAGAGGGGAGCCUGGCUCUGGUGUGCCUCUAUAGCCAGACCCAGUUCUAGGACUCAGAGCAUCUCAUCUGGGGAUCCUGACCUAGGGUCCACCCCAAGGCCUGAAUAGAAUCUGGGGGUCCUUGAAUUUGGAUGGGGGAAAAAAUUUCCACUAACUUCAUUUUUUUAAAGAUUUUAUUUAUUUAUUUGACAGAGAGACAGUGAGAGAAGGAACACAAGCAGAGGGAGCGUCAGGGAGAGGGAGAAGCAGACUCCCUACUGAGCAGGGAGCCCGAUGUGAGACUUGAUCCCAGGACCCUGGAUCAUGACCUGAGCCAAAGGCAGAAGCUUAACCAACUGAGCCACCCAGGCACCUUAUGACAUGCUUCUUAAAACGUUAUUUAGAGAAGGGGUCCAUAGGCUUCCUCAACCACCAUGUGUAACACACAAAAGGUGAAGAAACCCGGUGAGACAGACAUUAGAAAGAUGGGCUCAGAGAAGUUAAAACACUUGCCCGAGGUUGCCCAGCUAGGAUUCAAGACCUGCUCAGUCAGGCUCCAGAGCCCACCUGUAUGGUAUGACUUCCCUUUCUCUGAGAUGACUUAGACUCUGAUUUUAAUGGGCAUCUGGUGCCUUCCCAGAGAGGCCGUGCAGGGAACGAAAACAUCUUAUAACCCAGCAGUGACUCCUAAAUGUGAGUUUCUCUGCGAAAACUUCUUUAUUCCCCCUUGUUUGGAAAAUGGGCUAGUUAGAUUUCAAGAAGCAAAUUAAGAGUCAAGAACCCAGAUUCUAGAAAUAUUCAAAUUCACUAGAGAUCGGAGAAAUGCAAAUUACAACCACAUUAGGAGAGAGCAUUUUACACUCAUCAAAAUGGCAAAAAUUAAGAGGGUGGAGAUGAGAGGGUAGAGUGGUGGCAACACUGCAGACAGGCAGGAGAGAUCGAGAUGCUGAGAAUCCAGAAGCCACAACAGGUCGGGGGUGGAGCUCUCACACACACACACACACACACACACACACACACACACACACCCCUGCCUGGCAGAGCCGGUCUUCUCUGGCAAACGUAGGUGACA